GGGGAUUUAGCUCAGUGGUAGAGCGCUUGCCUAAAGCGCAAGGCCCUGGGUUCGGUCCCCAGCUCUG
rnacentral:tRNA from 1 species